rnacentral:rRNA from 1 species
CUAAGAAUCUUCCACAAUGGGCGCAAGCCUGAUGGAGCGACGCCGCGUGCAUGAUGAAGGUCUUCGGAUUGUAAAGUGCUUUCGGGGAGGAAGAAUAAGCAGACGUGAACAGCGUCUGUGAUGACGACCCUUCCAGAAGAAGCUCCGGCUAACUACGUGCCAGCAGCCGCGGCAAUACGUAGGGAGUAAGCGUUGUUCGGAAUUACUGGGCGUAAAGGGUGUGUAGGCGGGGUCGCAAGUUGGGGGUGAGAUCUACGGGCUCAACCCGUAAACUGCCCUCAAAACUGUGACUCUUGAGUAUGGGAGAGGAGAUUGGAAUUCCCAGUGUAGGGGUGAUAUCUGUAGAUAUUGGGAAGAACACCAGUGGCGAAGGCGAAUCUCUGGCCUAAUACUGACGCUGAGACACGAAAGCGUGGGGAGCAAACAGGAUUAGAUACCCUGGUAGUCCACGCCCUAAACGUUGUACACUAGAUGUCGGGGG